rnacentral:rRNA from 1 species
GUAGGGAAUAUUGCGCAAUGGACGAAAGUCUGACGCAGCGACGCCGCGUGAGUGAUGAAGGCCUUAGGGUCGUAAAGCUCUGUUGAAUGGGAAGAAAAAAAUGACGGUACCAUUCGAGGAAGGACCGGCUAACUUCGUGCCAGCAGCCGCGGUAAUACGAGGGGUCUUAGCGUUGUUCGGAAUCAUUGGGCGUAAAGGGUGUGUAGGUGGCCAUGUAAGUCAGGUGUGAAAGCCCCGGGCUCAACCCGUGAAGUGCACUUGAUACUGCGUGGCUUGAGUACCGAAGAAGGUAGUGGAAUUCCAGGUGUAGUGGUGAAAUACGUAGAUAUCUGGAGGAACACCGGUGGCGAAGGCGGCUACCUGGUCGAGUACUGACACUGAGACACGAAAGCAUGGGGAUCAAACAGGAUUAGAUACCCCUGUAGUCC